GUCGCGUGGAGGAUCUAGUCUGUCCUCCUCAAUCCUUAUCCAUGGCGACGACGGUGGGCUCGAGGCGACGACGGAGAGGUCAAACUUCAGAUAUUAUCUUCUCUGUGGAUAUCGCCUCCCUUUCUUCUCUCCAUUUGUUGCCCCUCUCCUCCAGCAUGCCCUUCCCUACCAUGGCGCCUUCUCUCUCUCCUUCCCCUCCCAUGGUGCCCAUCCCUCCAUUCCCAUGACACCCCUCCCCCUCCCUUCUUCAUAUGGCGCCUCAUUACCCUCUAUUCUGGUGUCUGUGAGUCUGUCCCUCUCUCUUCUUGAACCCUAGAACACAAGCAGAUCUCAAAUCCUAACUCUCUCUGUUAUUGUAUAGGUUCAUCCGGGUUCAAUUUUGCAGAUCUGUAGCAAUCAAGUCCUAAUCCCUUUCUGCUGCUUCAGCAUCACACGCAGUUGCAUCCAUGUCUUCUCUCCCCACCACCCGCCAGCUAACGUCACGCCUCCACAGAUUUCUUUUCUUUGUUACAAGCCUGCGUCCUCUUCCAGGUGUGAGUCCUCUACCUCGAGACCUCGUUGGGUUACACCACCGCGGGCACGGUACGUAUCAAUGUUGAUACUACUAUUUUCGCAAUAAUCGCUGCUUGGGAGUGGGUGUUUUUUAUCUGUGAUCACCAUGGAUGUUGUGUGCUGGCAUGCAAUGAACGUUUUGAAGGCGUAACAUCACCUGAACUUGCUGAAGUAGUGGCCUGGCCAUUAGGCGUGUUCACAUUUUCCAGAGAUCAUGGUCACAUGUUUGUGCUUCUUAAUUCUGAUUGUCUCUCUCUGACUUUCAGUGCAUUCAUUCUGAUGCUCAGGAUCUAUCUUUGUUGGGCUCGGUGAUAGCUGAUAUAAAGUCUCUGGUGGCUGCUGUAUCUUCAAGCAUGUUCAUCGCGACUUGAAUGUAGCGGCACAUCUAUUAGCUCGCAAUAGUGAACAUUCAGUUUGUAAUAUUUCUGUUGAUGUAAUCCCCUGGUGUAUCUGGGAAGUACUUUAGAAUGAUGUUACUUAAUCAAUAAAGUGCCUGACA